AUUGAACGCUGGCGGCAUGCCUAACACAUGCAAGUCGAGCGGAUGAAUGGAGCUUUCUCCUGGAUUCAGCGGCGGACGGGUGAGUAAUGCCUAGGAAUCUGCCUGGUCGUGGGGGAUAACGUCCGGAAACGGGCGCUAAUACCGCAUACGUCCUGAGGGAGAAAGUGGGGGAUCUUCGGACCUCACGCUAUCAGAUGAGCCUAGGUCGGAUUAGCUAGUUGGUGGGGUAAAGGCCUACCAAGGCGACGAUCCGUAACUGGUCUGAGAGGAUGAUCAGUCACACUGGAACUGAGACACGGUCCAGACUCCUACGGGAGGCAGCAGUGGGGAAUAUUGGACAAUGGGCGAAAGCCUGAUCCAGCCAUGCCGCGUGUGUGAAGAAGGUCUUCGGAUUGUAAAGCACUUUAAGUUGGGAGGAAGGGCAGUAAGUUAAUACCUUGCUGUUUUGACGUUACCAACAGAAUAAGCACCGGCUAACUUCGUG
rnacentral:rRNA from 1 species